rnacentral:rRNA from 1 species
UACGUAGGGGGCAAGCGUUGUCCGGAAUCAUUGGGCGUAAAGAGCGUGUAGGCGGCCCGAUAAGUCCGCUGUGAAAGUCCAGGGCUCAACCCUGGAAUGCCGGUGGAUACUGUCGGGCUCGAGUUCGGAAGAGGUGAGUGGAAUUCCUGGUGUAGCGGUGAAAUGCGCAGAUAUCAGGAGGAACACCAAUGGCGAAGGCGGCUCACUGGACCGGAACUGACGCUGAGGCGCGAAAGCGUGGGGAGCGAACAGG